rnacentral:rRNA from 1 species
GGGGAAUAUUGCGCAAUGGGGGAAACCCUGACGCAGCAACGCCGCGUGAAGGAAGAAGGCCUUCGGGUUGUAAACUUCUUUGAUAGGGGACGAUAAUGACGGUACCCUAAAAACAAGCCACGGCUAACUACGUGCCAGCAGCCGCGGUAAUACGUAGGUGGCGAGCGUUGUCCGGAAUUACUGGGUGUAAAGGGCGUGUAGGCGGGGAAGCAAGUCAGAUGUGAAAUUCCGGGGCUCAACUCCGGCGUUGCAUCUGAAACUGUUUUUCUUGAGUGCUGGAGAGGAAAGCGGAAUUCCUAGUGUAGCGGUGAAAUGCGUAGAUAUUAGGAGGAACACCAGUGGCGAAGGCGGCUUUCUGGACAGUAACUGACGCUGAGGCGCGAAAGCGUGGGGAGCAAAC